rnacentral:rRNA from 1 species
GACGAACGCUGGCGGCGUGCUUAACACAUGCAAGUCGAACGGAAAGGCCCUGCUUUUGUGGGGUGCUCGAGUGGCGAUCGGGUGAGUAACACGUGAGUAACCUGCCCUUGACUUUGGGAUAACUUCAGGAAACUGGGGCUAAUACCGGAUAGGAGCUCCUGCUGCAUGGUGGGGGUUGGAAAGUUUCGGCGGUUGGGGAUGGACGGGCGGCUUAUCAGCUUGUUGGUGGGGUAGUGGCUUACCAAGGCUUUGACGGGUAGCCGGCCUGAGAGGGUGGCCGGCCACAAUAGGACUGAGAUAGGGCCCAGACUCCUACGGUGGGCAACAGUCGGGAGUAUGACACAGUGGGCGCGAGCGUGAUGCAGCGACGCCGGGUGCGGGAUGACGGCCUGCUGGUUGUAAACCGCUUUCGCCUGUGACGAAGCGGGACUGACGGUAAUGGGUAAAGAAGCACCGGCUAACUACGUG